rnacentral:rRNA from 1 species
GACGAACGCUGGCGGCGUGCUUAACACAUGCAAGUCGAACGGAAAGGCCUCUUUCGGGGGGUGCUCUCGUGGCGAACGGGUGAGUAACACGUGAGUAACCUGCGCUUUACUUUGUGAUAACUUCAGGAAACUCGGGCUAAUACCCGAUAUGAGCUCCUGCUGCACGGGGUGGGGUUGAGAGUUUCGGCGGGUGGGGAUGGGAUCGCGGCUUAUCAGCUUGUUGGGGGGGUAUUGGCUUACCCAGGCCUUGUCGGGGAGCCGGGCUGGGAGGGUGACCGGCCACAUUGGGGCCGGGAUACGGGCCAGACCCCCUAGGGAGGCAGGAGGGGGGAAUAUUGCACCAUGGGUGGGAGCCCGAUGCAGGCAAGCCGGGUGCGGGAAGACGGGCUUUGGGUUGGAAACCGCUUUCGCUCAUGACGAAGCCGUGUGUGACGGUAGUGGGUAAAGAAGCACCGGCUAACUACGUG